GAUGAACGCUGGCGGCGUGCCUAAUACAUGCAAGUCGAGCGAACAGACGAGGAGCUUGCUCCUUUGACGUUAGCGGCGGACGGGUGAGUAACACGUAGGUAACCUACCUAUAAGACUGGGAUAACUUCGGGAAACCGGAGCUAAUACCGGAUAAUAUUUCGAACCGCAUGGUUCGAUAGUGAAAGAUGGCUUUGCUAUCACUUAUAGAUGGACCUGCGCCGUAUUAGCUAGUUGGUAAGGUAACGGCUUACCAAGGCAACGAUACGUAGCCGACCUGAGAGGGUGAUCGGCCACACUGGAACUGAGACACGGUCCAGACUCCUACGGGAGGCAGCAGUAGGGAAUCUUCCGCGAUGGGCGAAAGCCUGACGGAGCAACGCCGCGUGAGUGAUGAAGGUCUUCGGAUCGUAAAACUCUGUUAUUAGGGAAGAACAAACGUGUAAGUACCUGCGCACGUCUUGACGGUACCUAAUCAGAAAGCCACGGCUAACUACGUG
rnacentral:rRNA from 1 species